CGGAAGGAGAGCGUCACUACGCCCCUGGUGGCCGAGGAAGGGGUCGUGGCCGUGGAUCAAGGGGAGGAUACGGAUACAGUGGCAGCUCGAUGAGCAAUGUUGCAGCCCCAUCCAUUGAAGACCCUGGGCAGUUCCCGAUCUUAGGUGCGAAGUGAAUCUCUCUAUAAAUUUUCCCUUAGAAAACUGUGUUUUUGAUCUGGGG
rnacentral:misc_RNA from 1 species